CUAUACUAGUCUGACCCCAUGGUCCAGGUAUAAUACUAUACUAGUCUGACCCCAUGGUUCAGGUAUAAUACUAUACUAGUCUGACCCCAUGGUCCAGGUAUAAUACUAUACUAGUCUGACCCCAUGGUUCAGGUACAAUACUAGUCUGACCCCAUGGUCCAGGUACUAUACUAGUCUGACCCCAUGGUCCAGGUAUAAUACUAUACUAGUCUGACCCCAUGGUCCAGGUAUAAUACUAUACUAGUCUGACCCCAUGGUCCAGGUACUAUACUAGUCUGACCCCAUGGUCCAGGUAUAAUACUAUACUAGUCUGACCCCAUGGUCCAGGUACAAUACUAGUCUGACCCCAUGGUCCAGGUACAAUACUAUACUAAUCUGACCCCAUGGUCCAGGUACAAUACUAUACUAAUCUGACCCCAUGGUCCAGGUACAAUACUAAUCUGACCCCAUGGUCCAGGUACAAUACUAAUCUGACCCCAUGGUCCAGGUACAAUACUAAUCUGACCCCACGGUCCAGGUACAAUACUAAUCUGACCCCAUGGUCCAGGUACAAUACUAAUCUGACCCCAUGGUCCAGGUACAAUACUAGUCUGUUCGAGAUGUAGGGAAACGGUGCUGUUUAUGUGUCUUUGUCCUGUCUCUCUG